CCCGCGUGAGUAUUUUUAAUUAUAAUAUCAUCACAACUUUUGAACAAGAAGUUCAAAAGUUUGGACUUGAUAGUAACUUCUCAGUUUGUACCAAACUCUGUGGAUUUUAUGAAUGAGGAGUCCUGUCUAAAACACUGCCAUUUUUAUCCUUAUUUCAUUUGAGAUGAAUUUGAGGUUAAAGAAUUGAAACAAGUUGUUUUCGCACACACCACUGAUAGAUAACAGGAAGCUUGUCUCCGGAGCCCUGGGGUCUCCCUUUGUUCUUCCUUGUGUACGUACCUAAGGGAUGUGAGCUUCACCUCCUCAUUUCUGUAGUAAUUACUACUUUGCUAUCUUCCUUUAGUAGUACAGCAAGGUAUCUUGAGCCCUUUGAGUCCAAAUGCUGUGUCAAAUGCUCGCUCUGCCUCAUACCGCUGGACCUGAUUCCCACGGGAUCAGCAUGCUGGUAUUGGAAGCUACCGAGAAACCUCCUGCAGCUUUGGUGGGUGAGCACUCUCACAGUUGCUUUUAUUGCUGGGCUACAAUACCCUGGCCAAAUAAGCUUAAUGGAGAAAGGGCUAAUUGUGGUUCCCAGUUCCAGAUUAUAAUAUGUCACGGCAAGGAAGUCACAAUCAAGAAGCUUGCAGGAGUUGAUCACGUCACACCCACCAACAAGAAGCAGAGAGCCACAAAUGGAGAGGAGAUCAGGUCCCCUCGAAGAAGGACUCAGCUACAAUACCAAGAGGUUUUAGUAUUAACCUCUCUCUAUACAGUCCUAGGUUGCAGGCUGUUAGAUGAUCCCACCCACAAGUAAGAUGUGUCUUUCUCCAUCAGUGAACAUGAUCAAGAUAAUGUCUUAGAGACAUUCUCAGAAGCUCAUCUCUGGGGUGGUUCUAGACUUUUGUGGAUUAGAUUUAGUUGCUUUAGAGAAAGUAGCUUUAGACUGGAGUGGGACUUAGGGGUGACUCUAUCUUGACUGCUCACUGUACCUGGUGGCCUCUUCUAGCGAUUUCUUCUGUUCAGGAUCCAAGCUCGUAACUUCAGAUGAACCUGGGAUUGCCUGGAAGACACAGCUGCCUGGACCCCACAGCUGGCAUAUUUAUCCUCUCAUGUAGUCGACUGACAGCCAGGGGAGCCGCACCCUGCUCGCGGUGAGGAGUUGUCUGUGCUGACCUUCCGUCUGUGGACUGUGGGCGAAGAUCAAAGCCCUCUCCAGUAGUUACUGUGAGUAGCCAGCUGUCCGCAUGCUCACUUUCAAUUCAUACAAUGAAGCAGGGAUGUCUGCCAUUCCUUCUGAUCUUUUGGUUCAGGAUGGCCUUGUUAACCAUUCCUACGCUAACUUCUUGCCUCAGCAAUUUCUCCAUCCCUGCUUCCUCAUGAAACCAGACAUAGACUUUAAUUUUACACACAUCUCUUUUAUGUACAGUCAACUCAAGUUUCUCAAAAAAAAAAAGGAAGAAAGAAAAAGUAAAAGAAAGAAGAAAAAACCCUAUUUUUCUCUCCAAAGACAAGUAAGUUGCUUUAGAGUAAGUAGCUUU
rnacentral:lncRNA from 1 species